rnacentral:tRNA from 1 species
GCUGAUAUGGCUCAGUCGGUAGAGCGCAUCCUUGGUAAGGAUGAGGUCCCCAGUUCGAUUCUAUGUGUGAAUG